rnacentral:rRNA from 1 species
GACGAACACUGGCGGCGUGCUUAACACAUGCAAGUCGAACGAAGUGGGAACGGGUGAGUAACACGUGGGUAACCUCCCAUCAGAGGGGAUAACACUUGGAAACAGGUGCUAAACCGAUACUGAUGGAUGGACCCGCGGUGCAUUAGCUAGUUGGUGAGGUAACGGCUCACCAAGGCCACGAUGCAUAGCGGACCUGAGAGGAUGAUCGGCCACACUGGGACUGAGACACGGCCCAGACUCCUACGGGAGGCAGCAGUGGGGAAUCUUGGGCAAUGGACGAAAGUCUGACCGAGCAACGCCGCGUGAAUGAAGAAGGUUUUCGGAUCGUAAAGCUCUGUUGGUAGAGAAGCGGUAUCUAACCAGGAAGCCACGGCUAACUACGUGCCAGCAGCCGCGGUAAUAC